rnacentral:pre_miRNA from 14 species
UGACAGAGGUCAGGAGACCUCCUGAAAGACCCCUGGAGCGGGGAGACCCUCACUCAAGUCUCGGGAUGACGCAACCCCCCAAGAACUCACACAAGACC